rnacentral:rRNA from 1 species
CCUACGGGAGGCAGCAGUGGGGGAUAUUGCACAAUGGGCGAAAGCCUGAUGCAGCGACGCCGCGUGAGGGAAGACGGCCUUCGGAUUGUAAACCUCUGUCUUUGGGGAAGAAGAUGACGGUACUCAAAGAGGAAGCCCCGGCUAACUAGGUGCAAGCAGCCGCGGUAAUACGUAGGGAGCGAGGGUUGUCCGGAAUUACUGGGUGUAAAGGGAGCGUAGGCGGGGAUGCAAGUUGGAUGGUAAAACUAUCGGAUCAACCGGUAAUUGCAACCAAUACUGCAACUCUUGAGUAAAGUAGAGGCAGGCGGAAUUCGUAGUGUAGCGGUGAAAUGCGUAGAUAUUAGGAGGAACACCAGUUGCGAAGGCGGCCUACUGAGCUUUAACUGACGCUGAGGCUCGAAAGCGUGGGGAGCAAACAGGAUUAGAUACCCGUGUAGUC